rnacentral:lncRNA from 1 species
CAGGGCCUCCCCAUGGAAGUCUGUCUCGGCAGCCCCCAGGCGCCAUAGCAGCCUGAGGGCAUCCCAGCCUGAAAGGGCCCAGGACCUCCCAGUGGGUUUCCGUCCCAGCAGCCCGGGCGCCACAGCAGUCUGACAGCGCCCCAUCCCAGAAGCUCACCUGCACCCCUGCUGUGGAAGAAAACCUACCUAUAGGGGUACUCCCUGGCAGCCCAUGAAGCCAUAGUAGCCUGAAAGUGCUCAAGCCCAGAAAACAAUAGUUACUUCUGUGAGAUGAAUGGAAACUAUGUUCCAAUGGGAUCCAAAAUGUCCCUUCAAAAAUUCUACAAAAAGACUGCUUCCAAUCUGCUUAAUCAGAACAAAGGUUUAACUCCAUGAGAUGCAUCCAAACAUUGCAAAGCAUUUUCACAUAUAGCUUUUUUCUAGUUUUUAUCACGGGAUAUUCAUUUUUUCACUAUAGCCCCAAUUAGCUCCAAAAUGUCCAUUCAUAGAUUUUACAAAAACAGUGUUUCUAACAUGCUGAAUGAAAACAAAGGUUUAACUCUGUGAUAUGAAUCCACACAUUGGAAAGUGUUUUCACAGAUAGUUUGUUUCUAGGUUUUAUCAUGGAAUAUUCAGUUUUUCACUAUAGGUUUCAAUUAGCUCCAAAACAUCCAUUCGUAGAUGCUACAAAAAGAGUGUUUCCAACCUGCUGAAUCAAAACAAAGGUUUAAUUCUGAGAUAAAUCCACACAUCACAAAGCGGUUUCACAGAUACCUUGUUUCUAGUUUCUAUCGUGGAAUGUUUGGUUUUCUUACUAUGGGCCUCAAUGGGCUCUGAAAGUUCCCUUAGAUAUUACAAAAAGAUUGUUUACAACCUGCUGAAUCAAAGCAAUGUUUUAACUCUGUGAGAGAAAUCCAAAUGUCACAAAACAUUGUUAGAGGUAGCUUGCUUCUAGUUUUCAUCACUAGAUAAUCAGUUUCUUAAUAUAGGCCUCAAUGAGCUCAGAAAUGUCCCUUUGUAGAUUCUACAAGAAGACAGUUUCCAACCUGCUUAAUCAGAACAAAGGUUUACCUCUAUGAGAUGAAUCCACACAUUGCAGAGAAUUUUAACAGAUAGCUUGUUUCUGGAGUUUACUGCAGAAUAUUUGGUUUUCCACUAUAGGCUUCAAUGAGCUCAAAAAUCGCCCUUCGUAGAUUCACAAGAAGAGUGUUUCCAACCUGCUGAAUCAAAACAAAGUUUUAACUCUGCGAGAUGAAUCAACAUAUCACAAAGUAUUUUCAAGGAUAUCUUCUUUCUAGGUUUCAUUAUGAGAUAUUCCCUUUUUAACUAUGUGUUUCAAUGGGCUUCAGAAUGUCCCCUUGUAGUUUGUUCAAAAAGAGUGUUUCCAACCUUCUGAAUAAAAAGAAAAGUUUAACUCUGUGAGAUGAAACCACAUUUGAAGAGCAUUUUGACAGAUUGCUUGUUUCUAGGUUGUAUCAUGAGAUAUUUGUUUCUUCACUAUAUUUUCCAAGGGGCUCUGAAAUGUCCCCUUGUAGAUUCUACAAGAAGAGUGCUCCAACCUGCUGAAUCAAAACAUAUGUUUAACUCUGUGAGGUGAAUCCACACAUCACAAAGCAUUUUCACAGAUAGCCUACUUCUAGUUUUUAUUGUGGGAUAUUCAGUUUUUCACUACAGGCCUAAAUGGGCUUUCAAAUAUUCCUUUGUAGAUUCUAUAAAAUGAGUGUCUCCAACCUGUGGUAUCAAAACAAAUGUUUAUCUCCGUGAGAUUAAUUCACACUUCACAAUGCAUUGUUUCUAGCUUUUUGUUGUUGUUGUUGGAUAUUCCUUUUUACACCAUAUGUUUCAAUGGGCUAUGAAAUAUCCAUUCAUAAAGAGUACAAAAAAAGUGUCUCCAACCUGCUGAAUCAAAACAAAGGUUUAACCCUGUAAGAUAAAAUGACACAUUGCAAAGCAUUUUCACAGAUAGCUUGUUUUUAGUUUUUAUCAUGGGACUUUUGGUUUGUUACUCUAGGCUUCCAAGGGCUCAUGUCCCUUCAUAGAUUCUGCAGAGUGUUUUCAAUGUGCUGAAUCAAAACAACAGUUUUAGUCUGUGAGAUGAAUCCAAACAUUGAAAAGCAUUCUGAAAGACACCUUGUUUGCAGUUUUUAUCACAGGAUAUUCAGUUUUCCAAUAUAGGCAGCUCUGAGAUGUCCCAUCUUGGAUUCUACAAUUAGAGUCUGUGCAACUGCUGAAUCAAAAGAAAGGUUUAAUUCUGUGACUUGAAUCCACACAUCACAAAGCAUCAUCACAGAUAGCUUGCUACUAGUUUUUAUUGUAAGAUACUCGGUUUUUCACUAUAGAUUUAAAUGGACUCUGAAACGUGCCUUUGUAGAUUCUACAAAAAGAGCAUUUCUAACCUCCUGAAUCAAAACAACAGUUUAACUCUAUUAGAUGAAUCCACACAUUGCAAAGCAUUUUCACGGAUAGCUUGUUUCUAGUUUGUAUAACGGGAUAUUCAGUUUUUAAAUAUAGGCCUCAAUGGGCUCUUAAAUGUCACUUCGUACAUAUCACAGAGUGCUUCCAACCCUGCUGAAUAAAAAUAAAUGUUUAUCUCUGUGAGCUGAAUCAACACAUUGCAAAACAUUAUCAUGGAUAUCUAGUUUCUAAUUUUUAUCAAGAGAUAUUCAGUUUUUUACUAUAGGCAUCAAUGGUCUCUGAAAUGUCCCUUCAUCGAUUCUACAAAAAAAGUGUUUCCAAACUCCUGAAUCAAAAAAAAAAAGGUUUAACUCUAUGAGAUGAAUCCACACAUUACAAUGCACUUUCACAGAUAGUUUGUUUCUAGUUUUUAUUGUGGGAUAUUGGGUUUUUCACUAUAAGCCUCAAUGGGCCCUGAAAUGUUCACUCGUAGAUUCUAUUAAAAAAAAAAAAAAAAGGGUUUCCAACCUGCUGAAUCCAAUCUAAGGUUUAACUCUGUGAAAUGAAUCCACACAUCACAAAGAAUUUUCAGAUAGCUUGUUUCUAGUUUUUAUUGCAGAAUAUUUAGUUUUUCACUGUAGGCCUCUAUGGGCUCCAAAAUAUCCCUUCGUAGAUUCUACAAAAAAAGUGUUUCCAAACUGCUGAAUCAAAACAAAGUUUUAACUCUAUGACAUGAAUCCACACACUGCAAAGCAUUUUCACAGAUAGUUCGUUUCUAGUUUUUAUCAUGGAAUAUUACGUUUUUCACUAUACGCCUCAAUGGGA